CUCAGCCCACGUGACCAGGCCAAAGUCAAGCUUCAAGACGAUUGGAAAAGGGGUCAGACGUCUAACUUGCUUUCUGCAAACUAGGUUGCAGUUGCCAAAGUCUGCCCCCACAGCAUCCAGCAUAAGGCAGGAACCAAACCAGGAUCAAGUCAUUGGUGUAUGUCAACAGAGAUGCAUCAGCAGAGUGCCAACCGGUUUUGACACUUUCAUCACUCAGCAUCUACAGUAAAUGCAGUCAAAGCUCAAUCUUCAGUAACUUUUAUAGGUCUUCACAUGUGAGGAAGUGGAUAACCAGCCAGUAGUAAAGAUUUACUGAAUGAUUUGGAAAUUAUAGAGGGAGAAGUACUGCUCAGAUUAAACAGGCUGAAAUCAAACAAAUCACCAGGAUCAGAUAAUAUCAUCCUUGAGUGUUCAAGGAAGUUAAAACAUGGAAGAAAAAUAAACAACGUAUCGCGGAGCCAAAAUGGCCCUAGAGUAUUUUCCAGCCCUUGAUGAUGACGUCACUCAGAAGUCAAGAACAAGACGUCACUUCCCCCCUUUAAUUUCCUGUAGCCAUUUCUGUUUCUGUAUAAAUACCCCCCGUUUUAUGUUAUGUUAUGUGUUUUUCGUUGAACCUGCUUGUUUCAGCAUUUAUUUUGACCUGUCUGUUGGACAUUAUAUGGGGUGGUGUAGCGACCCCGGCUGAAUGAUGGUCAACUCUCAAACUGAUGGUUUAUGAAUUUUAUUAUCGUUUCCGUGACCUUUUUUCAUAAACACACCGUAAGAGCUAUAAAAGGCAAAGUACAAGAUAAAAAGCAUGUAAAUAACUUAAAAUAAACAUUCGUAACCUUUGUUUUACAUAUAACCCAGAAAAAAACAAUACCUCAUUCACUUUUCAGCGAUGUGCUUGUUAGUUAACCCCAUAUAUCGCCAUUUUCUUUUCCUAUUCCCGGCAAAACUGCACAAUUAAUUAUGCAAACCAAAGACACCCAAAAUAAAAGUAUCAAAUUAAAAGUCACUCCAACGCUGCUAUUCAAGCCCUACUGAGGCAUCAUGUGUCCUUUACAGGUUCCCCAAAAACUUUAUCUGACUGGCUGUCAUAUUUUUUUUUCCACAGUAUUUACAGUAAUCCCUCCUCGAUCGCGGGGGUUGCGUUCCAGAACCCCCUGCG